CUCGUAGUUGGAUUUCUGUGGGGGCGGAGCGGCCGGCCGCAACUUGCGGUUCGAGCUAGCGCUUCCCCUACAUCCUGCCGCGAACCGUGCUACCAUUAGUUUGGUGGCGCCGGGGAUCGGCUCGUUUACUUUGAGAAAAAUAGAGUGUUCAAAGCAGGCCACACGCCUUGAAUAAGUUAGCAUGGAAUAAUAAUAAAGGACUUCGGUUCUAUUUUGUUGGUGUUCGGGACUGAAGUAAUGAUUGAUAGGGACAGUUGGGGCGGUCAGUAUUCCAAAGCGAGAGGUGAAAUUCUUAGACCUUCGGAAGACUAACAGCUGCGAAAGCGUUCCGCAAGGAUGUUCCCUUUGAUCAAGAACGAAAGUUGGGGGAUCGAAGACGAUCAGAUACCGUCGUAGUCUCAACUAUAAACUAUACCAGCUAGGGAUCGGCCAACGUUAAAUUAUUCGACUUGGUCGGCACCUUAUGAGAAAUCAAAGCAUCUGGGUUCCGGGGGGAGUAUGGUCGCAAGGCUGAAACUUAAAGGAAUUGACGGAAGGGCACCACCAGCCGUGGAGCCUGUGGCUUAAUUUGACUCAACACGGGAAAACUUACCAGGUCCAGACAUAGUAAGGAUUGACAGAUUGAUAGCUCUUUCUUGAUUCUGUGGGUGGUGGUGCAUGGCCGUUCUUAGUUGGUGGAGUGAUUUGUCUGGUUAAUUCCGUUAACGAACGAGACCCCAGCCUGCUAAAUAGCGCGGUUGAGCUUUGCUCGGCGCGAGCUUCUUAGAGGGACUAUGAUGCGCGAUAGCACAUGGAAGUUUGGGGCAAUAACAGGUCUGUGAUGCCCUUAGAUGUUCUGGGCCGCACACGGGCUACACUGGCGCCUGCAACGAGCAUAUCAGCUGGCCCGAGAGGGUCCUGGCUAAUCUUUUGAACCGGCGCCGUGCUUGGGAUUGACCAUUGCAAUUGUUGGUCAUGCAACGAGGAAUGCCUUGUAAACGCGAGUCAUCAACACGCAUUGAAUACGUCCCUGCCCUUUGGACACACCGCCCGUCGCUCCUACCGAUGAUGNUNCGAUGAANUUUC
rnacentral:rRNA from 1 species